UACGAAGGUGGCAAGCGUUGUUCGGAUUUACUGGGCGUACAGGGAGCGUAGGCGGUUCGGUAAGCCCUCUGUGAAAUCUCCAGGCUUAACCUGGAACAGUCGGAGGGGGACUGCUGGGCUAGAGGACGGGAGAGGAGCGCGGAAUUCCCGGUGUAGCGGUGAAAUGCGUAGAGAUCGGGAGGAAGGCCGGUGGCGAAGGCGGCGCUCUGGAACGUUUCUGACGCUGAGGCUCGAAAGCGUGGGGAGCAAACAGG
rnacentral:rRNA from 1 species